rnacentral:rRNA from 1 species
CCUACGGGUGGCCGCAGUGAGGAAUAUUGGUCAAUGGCCGGAAGGCUGAACCAGCCAUGCCGCGUGAAGGUCAGUGCCCUAUGGGCGUUAAACUUCUUUUGUGCGGGAGCAAUAAUGGUCACGUGUGGCCAGACGAGAGUACCGUACGAAUAAGCCUCGGCUAACUCCGUUCCCGCAGCCGCGGUAAUACGGGGGAUGCCAGCGUUAUCCGGAUUUCUUGGGUUUAAAGGGUGCGUAGGCUGUGAGGUAAGUCAGCGGUGAAAUGCCCCCGCUCAACGGGGUGAAGUGCCAUUGAUACUGCCUGGCUGGAAUGCGGAUGCCGUGGGAGGAAUGUGUGGUGUAGCGGUGAAAUGCAUAGAUAUCACACAGAACACCGAUUGCGAAGGCAUCUCACGAAUCCGCGAUUGACGCUGAUGCACGAAAGCGUGGGUAUCAAACAGGAUUAGAGACCCGGGUAGUC